AUUGAACGCUGGCGGCAGGCCUAACACAUGCAAGUCGAGCGGAUGAAGGGAGCUUGCUCCUGGAUUCAGCGGCGGACGGGUGAGUAAUGCCUAGGAAUCUGCCUGGUAGUGGGGGAUAACGUCCGGAAACGGGCGCUAAUACCGCAUACGUCCUGAGGGAGAAAGUGGGGGAUCUUCGUACCUCACGCUAUCAGAUGAGCCUAGGUCGGAUUAGCUAGUUGGUGGGGUAAAGGCCUACCAAGGCGACGAUCCGUAACUGGUCUGAGAGGAUGAUCAGUCACACUGGAACUGAGACACGGUCCAGACUCCUACGGGAGGCAGCAGUGGGGAAUAUUGGACAAUGGGCGAAAGCCUGAUCCAGCCAUGCCGCGUGUGUGAAGAAGGUCUUCGGAUUGUAAAGCACUUUAAGCUGGGAGGAAGGGCAGUAAGUUAAUACCUUGCUGUUUUGACGUUACCAACAGAAUAAGCACCGGCUAACUUCGUG
rnacentral:rRNA from 1 species